CCCUUAGAUGUUCUGGGCCGCACACGCGCUACACUGAAGGAGGCAGCGUGUACUCCUGGAUCGAAAGAUUUGGGUAACCCGCGAAUCUCCUUCGUGCUAGGGAUUGAGGUUUGCAAUUAUCCUUCAUGAACGAGGAAUUCCCAGUAAGUGCAAGUCAUAAGCUUGCGCUGACUACGUCCCUGCCCUUUGUACACACCGCCCGUCGCUACUACCGAUUGAAUGAUUUAGUGAGGACUUCGGACUGGGACCGAUGCGGCUUUCGGACUGCGUCGGUAUUCUGGAAAGAUGUCCAAACUGUAUCAUUUAGAGGAAGUAAAANUCGUAACA
rnacentral:rRNA from 1 species